AAGAAACUAAAAGUUAAAAUAAUACAAGACUAACAAAGGCCAGAGGCUCCUGACUUGGGACAGGCGCAAAAAUGCGGCGGGGUUAAACAUGUUUGUGAGAUCUCAACCCUCCCCCUAUACCUCUAGCCAAUGCAGAAAAGUAAACGCAUAACAAUACGCACAUUAAAAUUCAGUUCAAGAGAAGUCCGAGUCUGAUGUCAGAAGAUGUAACCAAAGAAAAUAAACAAAAUGACAAUAAUACAUAAAUAAUG
rnacentral:lncRNA from 1 species